rnacentral:rRNA from 1 species
UAGGGAAUCUUCGGCAAUGGACGAAAGUCUGACCGAGCAACGCCGCGUGAGUGAAGAAGGUUUUCGGAUCGUAAAACUCUGUUGUUAGAGAAGAACAAGGACGUUAGUAACUGAACGUCCCCUGACGGUAUCUAACCAGAAAGCCACGGCUAACUACGUGCCAGCAGCCGCGGUAAUACGUAUGUAGCAAGCGUUGUCCGGAUUUAUUGGGCGUAAAGCGAGCGCAGGCGGUUUCUUAAGUCUGAUGUGAAAGCCCCCGGCUCAACCGGGGAGGGUCAUUGGAAACUGGGAGACUUGAGUGCAGAAGAGGAGAGUGGAAUUCCAUGUGUAGCGGUGAAAUGCGUAGAUAUAUGGAGGAACACCAGUGGCGAAGGCGGCUCUCUGGUCUGUAACUGACGCUGAGGCUCGAAAGCGUGGGGAGCAAACAGG